UGAGCAAUCUGCCCUUCUCAUCGGAAUAAGCGUUGGAAACGACGUCUAAUGCCGAAUACGACCUCCUUUCGCAUGAUCGGAGGUGGAAAGCUCCGGCGGAGAAGGAUGGACUCGCGGCCUAUCAGCUAGUUGGUGUGGGUAAUGGCUCACCAAGGCGACGACGGGUAGUCGGCCUGAGAGGGUGACCGGCCACACGUGGGACUGAGCCACGGCCAGACUCCUA
rnacentral:rRNA from 1 species